GAAACCCUGGCUUGUGCGUGUGGAUUAUCUUUGGUUUUGAUCCUAUUGAAUGUUUAGGGAGCCGAUUUGAUGGAUUGAGUACGGCAAGCCCUUUCACAGGGAAGCCGAAAAAAUACAUCUAGGCGCCCACCUGCGAGAGCAGGGUCAGAAACCGGGAAAUCUAACGGCAAGGUGGGGCGGGU
rnacentral:other from 1 species